GAUGAACGCUGGCGGCGUGCCUAACACAUGCAAGUCGAGCGAUGAAGUUUCCUUCGGGAAAUGGAUUAGCGGCGGACGGGUGAGUAACACGUGGGUAACCUGCCUCAUAGUGGGGGAUAGCCUUCCGAAAGGGAGAUUAAUACCGCAUAACAUCAUUAGAUGGCAUCAUUUAGUGAUCAAAGGAUUUAUUCGCUAUGAGAUGGACCCGCGUCGCAUUAGCUAGUUGGUAGGGUAAUGGCUUACCAAGGCGACGAUGCGUAGCCGACCUGAGAGGGUGAUCGGCCACAUUGGGACUGAGACACGGCCCAGACUCCUACGGGAGGCAGCAGUGGGGAAUAUUGCACAAUGGGGGAAACCCUGAUGCAGCAACGCCGCGUGAGUGAUGACGGUCUUCGGAUUGUAAAGCUCUGUCUUUGGGGACGAUAAUGACGGUACCCAAGGAGGAAGCCACGGCUAACUAC
rnacentral:rRNA from 1 species